rnacentral:piRNA from 1 species
CUAAGACUAGAACAUUAAUGAGGC